GUCUGUAUGAAGUUAUAUAGAGUCUGGCCUGCCCGUUGAAGAAAUUUGAAAGGCCGCGGUAUAUUAACUGUGCAAAGGUAGCAUAAUCAUUAGUUUUUUAAUUGAAAGCUUGUAUGAAGGGUCUGACAAAGAAAAAGCUGUCUUUAAUUUUAUUUUUGAAUUUAACUUUUAAGUGAAAAGGCUUAAAUAAAUUUAAGGGACGAUAAGACCCUAUAAAUCUUUAUAUUAAAUUAUUAUCUUGAAUUUUAAUGGUUUGUCUAGAUUGUUAAGUAAAAUAAUAAAUAUUUUGUUGGGGUGACGAGAAUAUAAAAAUAACUGUUCUUAAAAUAAACAAAGUUGUUUGAAAAAAAAUUUAUAGAUCCUUUUUAAAGAUUAAAAGUUUAAGUUACUUUAGGGAUAACAGCGUUAUUUUUUUUGAGAGUUCUUAUCGAAAAAAAAGUUUGCGACCUCGAUGUUGAAUUAAAAUUUCUCUACGGUGUAGAAGUUGUAGGAGAGAGUCUGUUCGACUUUUGAAAUUUU
rnacentral:rRNA from 1 species